GAGACGGUAAGUAAAACAAAUACUGGGGAGUUCUUACCCCCCAAUUGACUAUGGUCUCGUUUC
rnacentral:tRNA from 1 species